rnacentral:snRNA from 1 species
AUACUUACCUGGCAGGGGAAACACCAUGAUCAGGAAGGUGGUUUUCUCAGGGCGAGGUUCAUCCAUUGCACUGUAGGAUGUGCUGACCCCUGCGAUUUCCCCAAAUGCGGGAAACUCGACUGCAUAAUUUGUGGUAGUGGGGGACUGCGUUCGCGCUCUCCCCUG